UCAAAGGUGUUUUGUCAUAGCAAACUCCGUGGGCGCCAACUUACCUUGAGGUUUUAGAGAAUUAUUUAUUUCUUUACAAUGCACUUUCUAACCCAUUUUUUAGCUAUAUUAGCAUUAUCUUUAAGAAGAAAAGACUUUUUAUAUUUAAAUGUUGUGGGAUUUGAGUGUCUUUUCCAAAAUAGCUUAUUUCCUGAAAGAAAAUGAGGAGCUACCUUGGCCUCUUUGGGACUCCGCCAUUGUUUAAAAGUGCUUCCUCUCACUGCAUCAGGGCUGUGGGAGGCUCCCUGGUUCCGUAUUACUUGAGCCAGCUCACUGUGGACCUGGCUCCUCUGGAGCUGAGUGAGGAAGGGCUGCAUGUUCCCACAGUCCACUCAAACAGGGGCCCUUCCAAGCCAUGUGCAGCCUGGGAACAAUGGGCGUGAUUUCCCAUGGUCAUCUUUUAACUUGUAGGAGUAAUUCUUUUCUGGGGGGUAUCUACAUUGUAGAUGUAUAGGCUUGAACACAAAAACAAUCCUUGGACAUUUUAUGGCAUUUUCACACCCAAAACAAAAUGCUGGGUAGCUUUAUCCUAAGAUGUAUAACCCUUGAGCAGGAAGGGUUUCCGUCAAGUUUACUUUGGAGAGUCUCGGGAGGUUGUUUAUAUGUGUGUGUCUUGUCAGCAUCUGUCAUUUUGAGAAUUUUGAGGGAAAAGGAAACCUAAUGUGAGGUAUUUGUUGGGUAAACUGGUUUUGAAUGUUUUUACUGUUUUACAAGCAGAUACCAUUUGAACAAGAAAAAAGUCAUUAGCCUGCUGUUUUAAGGUAGUCCUACAAAAAUUUGGAGAGUGGUUCUACAAUAGAAAAUAUUUAUUUUAGUACUGCGUUUCAGUUAAGUGGUAAACAGUGUUAAGAGGUCUUGGGAAAGUGGAAGGCUUUUGUUAUUGUGUUUGUAAUCAAAACUGCCCUAGUGCUUCACGGUCUGGAGAAUGGAACUGUACUGAUACUAUUUUGAUACAUAUAUACAUAUGUGUAUGUAUAUGGUGAUCCUCUUGUUUUACUAACAAGCUCUGGAAUAUUUAGCAGUCAUUUUCACUGGCACAAGAGCCUUUUGUAUAUUAAUCAAUUUAAACUUUUAAACCAAAAAUAUAUUAAAGUUCAGUGUCAGGCAAAAA
rnacentral:lncRNA from 1 species